rnacentral:rRNA from 2 species
GGAGCUUUAAACCUGACAGCACCCGCUCAUUCUAUACCCCAUUAUUUGCCCGACCCCUGUCUGCUCAGUUUUAGGUUGGGGUGACCACGGAGUAUAAAAUAACCUCCAUGAAGAAGGGGAUAUUUCCCUUAUUAGAGAACCACACUUCCAAGAACUAAUAAAUUAAUUUUCAAUGACCCGAUACCCGAUAAUCGAUCAACGAACCAAGUUACCCUGGGGAUAACAGCGCAAUCCACCCUGAAAGCCCUUAUUAACAGGUGGGUUUACGACCUCGAUGUUGGAUCAGGGUAUCCCAGUGGUGCAGCAGCUACUGAGGGUUCGUUUGUUCAACGAUUAAAACCCU